CUUUUAUUUUCUUCGGAGUAGACAUUACUCUUCCAAAAAGAUAAAAGAUUUGCUAAAAAACAAGGUUUAUUUUCUCGCAUUGAAAUUUGCAGAUUUCUUUGUAUCUGAUUGAUCUCUUCCGUGUCGAUGUUGAUUCCCGUCAAUUUUUGGCUUGCGGAGUUGCUUUUUUGAUUAUGGUAGGUCGAUCACUUUUGAUUCGAGAUCGGGAGUUAGAGUCUAGUGGCAUCUGGGUCGAAUUGAUGUCUUCUUUGGUGGUCUGUAGGCUGAGGAGUGUCCUUUUAAGAAAGGAAUUAGAAGUAGGCUUUUAUUAGGUGGUGUCUGUGUUUUGGUUUUUUUCAUUAGUCUUCCGCUUAUAUACGACGCUUUUGUUUUGUAGUUCUGCUUUUUUCGACCUCUGUUUGUCUCGUGUAGAAACCAGUUAUUAAUAAUAAUAUAUCUGCCGUUAAUUUUUUUAUAAAAAAAAGGUCCAAUUUUCAAAUUAUAUGUCUUUAGGAACUCUUAUAUAGGGCCUACUUUUUAAUAUUAGAACACGUCUUUUAAAUUGUUUGAAACAGUUCCGAUAAUUAUAUAAAAAUAACACACAAUUUAUUUAUAAAUUUAAAUUUGUUGUUACAACUUUAGGUGUUCCUCCUUCUCUUGUAUUCUUAUCAUGAAAGCCCUAGCCUUAAUAAUGCUCACAUUUUCCAUCAUCACUGCCUUCUCACAUGCAAUAUCAACAUUGG
rnacentral:lncRNA from 1 species